rnacentral:rRNA from 1 species
GUGAGGUAACGGCUCACGAAGGCAAUGACGGGUAGCGGGUUUGAGAGGAUGAUCCGCCACGCUGGUACUGAGACACGGACCAGACUCCUACGGGAGGCAGCAGUGAGGAAUAUUGCACAAUGGGGGGAACCCUGAUGCAGCAACGCCGCGUGGAGGAUGACGCAUUUCGGUGUGUAAACUCCUUUUAUAUGUCAAGAAAAUGACGGUAGCAUAUGAAUAAGCACCGGCUAACUCCGUGCCAGCAGCCGCGGUAAUACGGAGGGUGCAAGCGUUACUCGGAAUCACUGGGCGUAAAGGACGCGUAGGCUGUUUAGCAAGUCAGAUGUGAAAUCCUAUGGCUUAACCAUAGAACUGCAUUUGAAACUGCUAGACUAGAGUAUGGGAGGGGGAGAUGGAAUUAGUGGUGUA